rnacentral:rRNA from 1 species
UACGAAGGGGGCUAGCGUUGCUCGGAAUCACUGGGCGUAAAGCGCACGUAGGCGGAUCUUUAAGUCAGGGGUGAAAUCCUGGAGCUCAACUCCAGAACUGCCUUUGAUACUGGGGAUCUCGAGUCCGGAAGAGGUGAGUGGAACUCCGAGUGUAGAGGUGAAAUUCGUAGAUAUUCGGAAAGAACACCAGUGGCGAAGGCGGCUCACUGGUCCGGUACUGACGCUGAGGUGCGAAAGCGUGGGGAGCAAACAGG